UGUGCAGCUGUAUUCAGAUACAGCUGGAAGUAAUCAUCAAUCACACUUUAAAAGCAAAAACAAAAAUAAGAAAACAAACACAACAGCAACACAAGACAACAAAAGAGCAACAGCUAUUAUUUAAAACACCGAGCAUGAGAGAUCAAACUUCAGGGAAAGGUUUAUAGUAUCACACAUUAAACCAGCAGAUGCAGUUGGAAAAAUGGACCUGCAGCAAAGAGUGAUUUCUCCUAGACUGCUGGAUGUCUAACAGCUUUAAGUUUCAAAACAGAUAAUGGUUUACCAGUGCCGCUAUAUGGGCAGCAGGAGUGGUGUUCAAGCAGUGACUGGGAAGAGUAGCCAGAAAAAAAAUAAAGGAGAGAAUGGAGCUCCCAUCCAUUGCAUCCUGGCAAGUUCUAUAUGAGUCAUGUUCUCCUAUCCACUUCCCUGUGUGGUAAACAUACACCAGUCAGGAGGAAACAAGGAAGCCACUUGUGCCAUGAGCCUCCUGCUCUAGCUGAAGAUGAAGCAGCUUCCAUCUCUGGUCAGAACUGCAGUGGAGCACCAGCCUCUGGCUAGCAGAGUACUCCAUUGGUGCUAAGCUUUUGUGAGGAACCCUGCAAACCAAAACUGACAGAAGAGACUAUUUCCCAACAUUUACACAUUCAAAUUCUUCUUUGACAGACAAUCUUCAUGGCACCAAUUUAUUUUCAUCUGAGAUAAGGAAUCUUUCACUGUGACUACUAUAUAGUAAUUACACUGUGUGCUGUUACAUUCAAAUUCACUAAUAAAGCAGUGAACUGAGUACUUUGUGUUGAAGUGACAGUUCAUCCCUGUACAGCAGAACUCCAAGCAAUAGAGUAUUUUUAAGCAAGCAUUUUGUUUCUAUUUAUUUAACUGUGUUUAUUCAGUAGAACUUAUGUUCAUUAAAAGGUUAAAUGACACAUUAAGUUUCAGUCUUGAGCUAAGAGACAAGCUGAAGUCUCA